rnacentral:lncRNA from 1 species
CAACAUCUUUGAAGCAAUGAGGUAUCCUAGUGAUGUUCACGCUUAUUUUUCAAUUGAUAUAAUAGAUUCAUUAGUACAAAAGUUUUUGAAUUAUCAAAUGAAUAUGCAUUGGAUACCACUUUGAUUAAAAGCAUUGAUGCUAACAAUCUCACCGGGUUGAGCAAGAAUUUACAAGUGUGCAAGGAUGUUGUUGAAACCGUGGC